CUCCUUCCCAUGUAUAGUAAUCCUAUUGUUACAGAUUUACAUGAAGACACCAAGGCCAUGGUUCAUUAUAUUUACCGAUGACAUAAAGCAAUUGACCCCUUUCUUACAGCACUUUCUAGAGUGUAGGGGUUCUUUUGUUUUACUUAAGAUGGAGAUUGGUGGAAUUUUCAUUUGGAAUGAUGCCAACUUUAUUAAAGAUCAAAUCUAGAUUAUAAGCAUGUGAUGACUUUUCCUUUAUCGUUUUUAAUUAAAGCAAUCACGCUUCCUUCAAUUUUAGUGCAUCAAAGUUCUAUUGGUCCUUAAGGUUGUCUGGCACAUGGACAUGGAAGCUAAGAAUAUGCAAAGGCAACCAUUACAUUCUGUCGAUCGUGUAUAAGUACAACAUUAGCGAUGGCAGCGAGCAGGGGAGGCUGACCAGAGCUAGGGGUGGCCAUGGACGCCAGGACCAUGGUCAUCUUCCUUUGUUUGUCCACCAUGCUUCUGUUACUAUUCCUAAUUCGUGUAACACAUGCUAAAUGCAGUUCAGUUGUAUCUUUUCUUUAUUCUGGAGAUUAACAAAUUAGACUUGUUCAUUGUGUUGCCAUUGAACACAUUUUUAUUCCAUUUGCAUUUUCACUUCAUGUUUACAUAGAACUUAUAUAUUGCGUUUGUCCCCUUCGUCGCCGGCAAGGUCCGGCAGCUCGCCCAUGUGUGGCUCUGCCUCACAGACGGUCCUCCCGUGCCUGAUGGCCAUGAGAUUUGGUGCAGUAGCCACCUGUCUCCAUCGACGAGGAGGGCGACCGGAACCCAAGCGCAAGCGGGCGAGCUGGAGGAGGAAAUCGUCGUGAGCUUGACCUUGACUACCCCCCGCACAAGGUAAACCACAACAGUGGUAGUACCUCAAAAGAAUCCUGCUGGGAGAUCAAAGGAAUAUGCACUUCUGCUCCUUUUUAUCUGCUGAUGCAAUCUUGAAUGUAAUGGUCAAGGUAGUUAGUGUGGGAAUCACUUCCAGAGUCCAAGGAUGGUUGCAAUCCUGUCAAAUGUUGCACAUGGCUGUUAUAAUUAUGCCUGUAUGCAUCAGGUUACUAAUCCUUCUACUGCCACAUGCGUGCAUCGUUUGCUAGCUCGAUCGCGUUCGCCACCGUUGCUAUGUACGAGCAUGCAUGCAAGCUUGCCCAUGCUGUGGCUGUGAUGCUAUAUUGCUUGCUUGCAGUGAUUGCUUGCACCGAUCCGACGGCGGCCAUGGCGGAGCUCCGCCCGGGCAACAUGGGGUGGCCGUCCGAGGUCGUGAUGGUCGAUGUGUACUCUCUACGCUGUAGCGCACCAGCGCGGGAGCUCUUGGAGCGUGCCAUCGGCGAGAUGCACGUUGAUGCAUACGGAUUGUGGGAAAUAGGAGCUCAGCUGCUAGGCCAUUCUAUUGGUGUACCAAUUAUGGAUUAUUCAUCAAGUUCUCUUUAUUGCUAAUGACAAACGUCCUUCCAGUAUGACAACCUUAAAU